rnacentral:rRNA from 1 species
UACGUAGGGCGCGAGCGUUGUCCGGAAUUAUUGGGCGUAAAGAGCGCGUAGGUGGUUGGUCGCGUCUGCCGUGAAAACCCAUGGCUUAACUGUGGGCUUGCGGUGGAUACGGGCCGACUUGAGGUAGGUAGGGGAGAAUGGAAUUCCCGGUGUAGCGGUGAAAUGCGCAGAUAUCGGGAGGAACAUCAGUGGCGAAGGCGGCCAUCUGGGACAACACUGACGCUGAAGCACGAAAGCGUGGGGAGCAAACAGG